rnacentral:rRNA from 1 species
UGCCUACGGGGGGCAGCAGUGGGGGAUAUUGCACAAUGGGGGGAACCCUGAUGCAGCGACGCCGCGUGGGUGAAGGAGCGUUUCGGCGCGUAAAGCCCUAUCGGCAGGGGAGAAGGAGGACGGUACCUGACUAAGAAGCCCCGGCUAACUACGUGCCAGCAGCCGCGGGAAUACGUAGGGGGCAAGGGUUAUCCGGAUUUACUGGGUGUAAAGGGGGCGCAGACGGCAGCGCAAGCCCGGAGGGAAAGC